CGAACGCUGGCGGCGUGCUUAACACAUGCAAGUCGAACGGAAAGGCCCCUUUGGGGUACUCGAGUGGCGAACGGGUGAGUAACACGUGAGUAACCUGCCCUUGACUUCGGGAUAACUUCAGGAAACUGGGGCUAAUACCGGAUAGGAAUCCUUGCUGCAUGGUGGGGGUUGGAAAGCUUCGGCGGUUUUGGAUGGACUCGCGGCUUAUCAGCUUGUUGGUGGGGUAGUGGCUUACCAAGGCUUUGACGGGUAGCCGGCCUGAGAGGGCGACCGGCCACAUUGGGACUGAGAUACGGCCCAGACUCCUACGGGAGGCAGCAGUGGGGAAUAUUGCACAAUGGGCGGAAGCCUGAUGCAGCAACGCCGCGUGCGGGAUGACGGCCUUCGGGUUGUAAACCGCUUUCAGCAGGGGCGAAGCUUGUGGUGACGGUACCUGCAGAAGAAGCACCGGCUAACUACGUG
rnacentral:rRNA from 1 species